AAAUAAAUUUCGAUUAUUCUUUCUUCAUACUUGUGGUGACUGGAUGUGUAGCGUAGCUCUCCUUAUUUUGUUAAAAUAUAUCUUGCAGGAAAUAAUCUAAAAUCAAUUGAAAUAGCAGAAGUAUUAAUAUAGUGGCUGAAAUUCAAACAGUGAAUUUGUUUUACUAUAUCCGGAAACAAAUAAACAUUCAAUAUGCCACGAUAUCGCGAAUGGGAUUUGGCGUGCAAAGUAUACGUAGGAAAUCUGGGUUCAUCUGCUUCAAAAUAUGAAAUUGAGAAUGCUUUCAGCAAAUAUGGUCCUCUGCGAAAUGUUUGGGUAGCGAGAAACCCACCUGGCUUUGCCUUUGUAGAAUUUGAAGAUCGUCGAGAUGCAGAGGAUGCAACACGAGGUUUGGAUGGAACACGAUGCUGUGGUACUCGUAUCCGUGUAGAAAUGUCGUCGGGUCGGUCACGACGUGAUGAUAGACGACGCGGAGGUGGUGGCGGCGGCGGCGGUGGUGGAGGUGGUGGUGGAAGCAGCAGCGGAGGUCGCGGUGGAGGACGCUAUAGGAUAAAGUCUACUGCUACUACUACUUCUACUAGAACUUCUACCUCCUCUUCCUUCAACAAAAACUACAAAAACAACAUCUUCACGUAUCACAACUACUGCUCCUUCUCCACAAACUUCACCACGACAAGCAACUAUAAGCUCAACUUAAUAUCGUUCAACGACAACAAUCUUGAUAAUAGAGAAAAAAAUAGCAACCAACAAUUUUUUAAACAAAAAAGUCAACAAAAUUUCGACAACAACAAUUUUAGUUCAAGCUACUACCAUUACUUUCAACAUCACCAAAAACAACUACAAGAAAAGCCACGACACAAAACUUUCAUCAGUAAAAUUAAAAUCAUAGUUUUUGUUAUCAACACCGACACCUUGAACACCAAUAACACCAACGUCACCACAAUAUUGCACAUAAAAUUUGCUCUCGUUUUCGCUGUAGUCAUUGUCAUCAACACUUAUCUAACAAUUGUUGUUGUCGUAAUAGAAAACAGAAACAGUUGUUCUGAUGUUAAGUGCAGUAAACGAUCAACCAUCAUUAGUACAGCAACUACUAGUAUAAUAAUAACUCCUGCUACUACUACUACUACCUCAGCUGCAACUGCUUCUACAGUCACUGCAACUAUUGCUACUACAAGAAUUAGUGCAACUAGUAAAAGUGUGCUUGGGCAGCAGGCGCAGGAUCAGCAUCAGCGGCAAAAGCUAAAGCAUUUACAACAGCCAUCAUCAUUAAUACCACUACUACCACCAAUACCACCUUAACAACUUGAAAAUACUACCACUUCCUUCUCCUUUGCAUAUGCAAAUGACUGAUAUGAGCCCACAACACUACUACCUACAGCACAACAAAUACCACAACCAACAACAACAAAAAGAACAUCGACCUUGACAAUAAAUGCACGCUCAUGAGAUACUGGUUUGAUCGCGCUCACCACGUCGUACACGCAGUCGUUCACGUAGUUUUUCAAGAGACAGACGCAGC